UGUGGCGUAGGCCGGACAUUUCUAGUCGACUGUUGCGCGUGCGCGCGCUGUGACGUUCCCUACGCGGUCGGGCGUUGGGUUUCGCGGCGCUCGCCGCACUGGUUGUUCAGCACCUUCGGUCCGGUUGAGGUUGUCAAGUCGGACCAAACAGGUUGUUUCUCUGCAGUUUCCAGACAUGGCAGGGAGGUUUAAUAGACAUGGAUAAGAAGUCCACUCACAGAAAUCCUGAAGAUGCCAGGGCUGGCAAAUAUGAAGGGUAAACACAAACGAAAGAAAAGAAGAAAGCAAAACCAAAACCAGCACCGAUCCCGACAUAGAUCAGUGACGUCUUUUUCUUCAGAUGAUCCUAUGUUUCCUUCUUCCUCAUCAUCGUCUUCAGGAAGCCAGACAGAUUCAAGUAUUGAAGGAUGCUGCCAAGGGAAAAAUUAAGAAGAAGAGAAGAGAGAAAACAAAUAAAUGGGAAAAAAGAAAGGGACAAAAUAUGAAACACCAAGAAAAAGAGAAGGAAAAAAAGGAGGAAACAACCACAUAUGUCACCUUUCCAAGGAGGGACUGAAACUGGGCUGACCCUUUUGAUUUCCAAGCUCAGCGUUUUGGUGUAAGGCGGCCAAAGAAGGAUGCGGAGCCCAGCACUGUGAAGCCUACAAAAACAUUGAUGCGCUGGCUUGGGGAUUUGAAUUUGAACAUCUUUCACACUAAGUUCAGACUCAUGAAACCAAUCUUCAGAUGCUCUGUAAACCACAUAAUAAAGAGUUUGGAAAUUA
rnacentral:lncRNA from 1 species